AUGGCCGCCGCCGCCGCGUCGGAUCUGGAGAGCAAGGCCAAGGAGGCCUUCGUCGACGACGACUUCGAGCUGGCCGCCGAGCUCUACACCCAGGCCAUUGAGGCGGGGCCGGCCACCGCGGAACUCUACGCCGACCGAGCCCAGGCGCACAUCAAGCUGGGCAGUUACACUGAGGCUGUAGCUGAUGCCAACAAAGCAAUUGAACUUGAUCCUUCGAUGCAUAAAGCAUACCUUCGGAAGGGCUCUGCUUGCAUCAAGCUGGAGGAAUACCAAACUGCAAAGGCUGCUCUUGAAGUGGGUUCUUCAUAUGCAUCUGGUGACUCGAGGUUUACUCGUCUGAUGAAGGAGUGUGAUGAUCGUAUUGCUGAGGAGGCUAGCCAGGUGCCAGUAAAGAAUGCCGCUGCAGCUGUUGCUCCAGCUACAUCUUCGGGGGCAUCUUCCGGGGCUACAACUGUGGCUACUGAAGUUGAGGACCAGGAUGGUGCAAAUAUGGAGAAUGCACAGCCAACGGUAGAAGUGCCAAGCAAGCCCAAAUACAGGGAUGGCAGUUUUGCCCAUGGGUAUGGGUACCCGCGGGUACCCUACCCGAAAACAACGGGUAUGGGCAAGACUUUGAGAGAUUUUGUACCCAUGGGUAACGGGUAUCCAUACCCGCAAAAUAUAUGGGUAGGAUAUGGGCAUGACUACUACAAUACUCCUACAGAAGUGGUACUGACUAUAUUUGCUAAGGGUGUUCCAGCUGACAGCGUGGUUGUUGACUUUGGUGAACAGAUGCUGAGUGUCUCAAUUGAACUUCCCGGUGAGGAACCAUACCAUUUUCAGCCUCGUCUGUUUUCAAAGAUCGUCCCAGAUAAGUGCAAGUAUACUGUGUUGUCUACAAAGGUUGAAAUGCGCCUUGCAAAAGCUGAGCCAGUAACUUGGACAUCAUUGGAUUAUACUGGUAAACCAAAGGCUCCUCAGAAGAUAAAUGUACCAGCUGAAUCAGCCCAGAGGCCAUCUUAUCCAUCAUCAAAAUCCAAAAAGGACUGGGAUAAGCUUGAAGCUGAAGUGAAAAAACAGGAGAAGGAUGAAAAACUUGAUGGCGAUGCUGCAUUGAACAAAUUUUUCCGUGAAAUUUACAGUGAUGCUGAUGAAGAUAUGCGUAGAGCAAUGAUGAAGUCUUUUGUGGAGUCUAAUGGAACCGUUCUCUCAACCAACUGGAAGGAUGUCGGGAAAAAGACGGUUGAAGGAAGCCCUCCUGAUGGAAUGGAGCUCAAGAAGUGGGAGUAUUAA
rnacentral:rRNA from 1 species